GCCCCGAUGGCGAAAUAGGUAUACGCAGCGGACUUAAAAUCCGCCAGACGCGAGUCUAUGCCGGUUCAAGUCCGGCUCGGGGCACCA
rnacentral:tRNA from 1 species